AUUUGCCCUAUGAUUUGUUUCCCUUCAAUGACAGUUGUUUUGAAUUCUGACUUCUGGAGAACGAAACACUGAAUGCAGGGAGUUCCAUGGAGAAAUCAGCAUUUUAUCAAAGAUUAAGGGAAAUGAACAUUGAUACAAUUCAAGAUGAAUCGUAUGUGUGAACAGAUCCAGCUGAAAGUCGUUGUUUCAAAAGCAGAUCCUAUCCUUUGGAACAUCUUACUGUUACUGCUCUUGGACUUUGCAAAUUGCUCCAGCUGGGCCUGCAUAGUAAUGAAACCUGUUAUCAGGCUGGUGUAAUAUUUGGGCACUGUUGCAGAAAGAACAAAUGCUGGCUUUACAUCACCUUGGGGUUCCUCAGCUCUGGCUGAUCUUCAGAGUCUAGAGCCUCCAGAUGUGAGGCUGGCAAGGAGUUACAUGAGGUUGGCAGCUACACUGUGAUGGAAAUACACACAAAAAAAGCUAUUUUAUGUAAUGAAAACAACAUACCUUAAAAAAAAAGAGGCAGCUUUCCGUGCUUUGCGUGGUUCUGUGCACAGUGCCUGGCACUGCAGCCUGAAGAAGAGGGAAGCAGAGUGAGACAUGGGAGACCUGAAUUCUGCUGUAGGCUGUGUUGAGAAUCUCCUGUCACCUUGAAUAUGACCCUUACUUCUGUGCUGUAGCUAUUUCUAUUUGUAAAAUAGAUAAAACAUGUUUCAGCUCCUCAUAGAGCAAUUGUGAAUGUAAAUACAAUAAAAUAAUAGAAUACUAUUAUGAUAAGUAAUAAUGCCAGUAAUACAAUUUAUGAAUGGGUUGGAACAGAAGUUCCUGUUUCUAUGUAGGGCAAAGCUUACUCUAGAUUAUUUUUUUUUUAGAGAAUUCCUUACUUUUCUAAAGAUAGUUUCCUGAUAGUCUCAUAAAGGCAACUCUCUUCCCCUGCAUAUGCACUGGAACCCCUCUGCAGAGCUCCCACAGCUGAUGUAUAGAGUCUGUUGGUCACAGUAUCUCUUGGGGUCUGGCUUCAGGCAAAAUGAGCAUGCAGACAUUUAAAAGAAAUCCACGCUGUGC
rnacentral:lncRNA from 7 species